CGAACUCACAGAGAUCUGUCUGCCUCUGCCUCCCAAGUGCUGGGAUUAAAGGCGUGUGCCACCACCACCUGUUGAACAGUUUCUUUUAUUCCAAUCUUAGAUACUAAUAUUAAUUCAGAUCACACAUGAUCUACUACACAGUAAACACAUAUUUCUCCAUGUAUAUAUGUAGGUUACAGAGAGGUUAAGAGACUAGGAGUUUUAAGGAGACCUGAGAAAUUCAAAUCAGGGAAACUCAUGGAGGUUCAAAAGUCUUUGUGUUGAUAAGAGAAGGAGCCCAGAUUAAGCUGGAGCUACAGCUACUGUGAGAGUGGGCCUGCUGCAGGCCACAGGCCCAGGAGAGAAGCUGCAGAGAGAGUCUAGCUACAGACAGGGCAGAAAGAGGCAGAACUGAGUUCGGACUAAGCAAGGCACAGAUGGAUGCACAGCAGGCCCAGAUGAGACAGACAGACAGCAGUUGAGUGGCCGCACAUCAACACAGAGGCUGGGCGGAGCUGAAGCCCCUGGAACUGGCAGGAAUUCUUCCCUUGAUGUAGAAACCAGGUGGUCAGAUGACAGGUUUGGGGAACAUGGCCAUUGCAACCUCGUUGUAGAGUCUGGGUGAAGGAGAUCUGUAUGCCCUUUCCUUGGUCUGGUGCACUCCAUAAUGUCUUGGGGCUGAUUUUCCUGACAUGAUUUUAGUACAUCUAACCUGUACUCUAACCCUCUGAACUCACACCAAUAAAUGCAUACGUUGACACCGUUCUCAUUUCCAGGAAUAAGUCAUUUUUCAGUCUGUGUGCUAUUUGUGGUAUGGUUCACUUGUCUACCUAGGAGCACAGUCAUCCUGCACCUUCAAAAUGGAGUCCAAAGCUGCUUGGGCAAAGGAGCCUAUCGGGGCAAGGCACGGUCUGAAAAAUCAGCGUGGUGACUAAUACGGAGUGAUGCGGAGCAGGGCACGUAUUCCCUGGGCCCUGAUGAAGCCGGCUGUGCCGAGCAGCGUUGCUUGUAACUUGAACUCUUCCCAGGAGUGUUGUUCUGCCCUUGGUACCCAUGGAACAAUGCCAAGCAUAUUAUGGUUGCCUUCUUCCCCUUCCCCACGGUGGUGCGUACAUUCCACUAAGCCGAGUGAUUUAAAUAUUUAUCGCUGCAUAACAACUGACCUCCAAAGUAAGCAGCCUAAAACAAGAGUUUAUUAUCGCACGCAUUUGCUCUAGGACGGGAGUCCGGGAAAGCUUUACCUGGGCUUCUCCAACUCAGAACCACUCACGAGGUUGCUGGGAAGCUGUUGGCAGAAGCUGCCGUGAUAUCACAGCUAGACUUGGGCGACCGAGCUUAUUUCUUAAGUCCCUCACUUGGCUGACGGUGGCAGGCCUCCCAGCAGGGCAGUUUACACCACAGCAGCUGGUUUCCUCAGAGCUCCCUGGGACCUCAGCUCCGGAGCGACUUCUUAUCACCUUAGCCAGGAGCUGUAGCGCACCCAGGUGAAGCCAGUGGGAGGAGAUUUCACAAGAGCGAAUACCAGGAGGUGGGAAUAACUAGAGUCCUGCUUGGAGGCCGGAUGCCGCACCCCAGGCCGACACUCGGCAAACCAGGCCUCCAACUCCUGCAUUAUAAUACAGGCUAUUGUUUAGUUCUGGGAAGUAACUGUUAGGCGGAUCGGGGAAGGUGAGGCACUGCUCUUAGAGGGCCUUGUUACUCCGGAAUCUUUACAGAUACAGUCUAUACAGUGGGUCAGGGUCAUUCCCUUUUUCUGAUUUGGGAAACCACAGAACAGAAUACUUAAUAACUGGUGUUUCUCAUUGUCCUUAGAGCAAGACAUUUUAUUGGCAACUCCUUACUUUUCUCCAUUUCAUUAACUUUUUGUUUGGAAGUCCAGGUCCUCCGUCUGCAGCCAUUAAACUGCCAGCUGUCCCCUCUGCCUGUUCAUUCCUGAUCAGAGGCCGUUCUUAGGGCACUCAGGGCUCUGUAUUCCCGUGCCUGCUAGCCUUUACCUGUUGGUACUCUGGCGAUCCUCGAGCUGCUGGGACACGCCAGGUUUUCAGAGGAAACUAGCUGGGGAGUUGGCGGUGAGCUGCUGUGUGCGAGGUGUGUGAGGAGACUUUAAGUGAGAGCAUUCGUGGAGCCUGGUCUUCCCUGUGGAUUUAGCAAGAACAGAGGCCCUCUGCGAGCCGAGCCGUGGAAGUGGGAGCAGCGGGGGACGUGAGAAUGUCGUUUUAGGGUGGAACACCAAGGCAGUUCUUUUACCACACUGCUGUCCCCCAUUUCUGAUGUCCUGCGGUGGCUCCAGUCUUUGCGACAACAUUCAGCGGUUCCUUGUGCUUACCUGAGUUUUCAGUUCAUGUUGACUGACUGAAGCGAACUGAGGGUGCUGGCUGGAUGGUUUGGAUUCCUGCAGAUUUGAGAUCAUAAACCAGCCAGGUGCACGGAAGACUGAGAGAUGGCGAUGGAGUUUGGACUUGGGAGUGAUCCGUCCAAGUGAGGCCAGGCAGUCAGAGCUCUCAUCCCUUCCUGGCACCUGGCUCCACACUCAACAGAGGAUUGGAACCUGUGGAUUUCUUCCAGGCUGAUGUGGAGUGAUGGAACAAGACCCCCUGAAAGUUCUCCAAGAACCCUACAAACACUUUGCCCAACAAAAAGCAGGAAGAAGUUUGGAGAAAACUAUGCUCAAAUUCUCAAAAUGAUUGUUUAUAAAUGUUUGUUUUCAUUUAAAGAAAGUUGAUUAUAAGUGACUAAUGGUCUUAGUCAAUUUCUUAAAAAAAAUUAGGGAGAAAUGAUAUAGAGAUGGAUAUUUUGCAUUGGUAUAAAUCUUGGUCUCUUGAUACAAAUUUAAAGUCAGUUUUGUUGCACUGUGUAUCUGUAUUUCUGCUCUUUUUAAGGUUUUGUGUUUGUGUAACUCAUUUAAAACUGUAAUGUAGAGUUAAGAAGUACAGAUAAUAUGGAGCCAGUGGUAAAUGUACAUUAGCCAAGAUUCAGAAACAGUUGUCUUUUUAGGUAUUAGUGUGCAUCUCUGGUGCAUCCAUGUCUCAUGUUGCGGUUUCUCACUCAUCUUCAAAUCCAGGCUUCCUCUAUGCUUCAAAAGCAAGCACCCAGUGCUUCUCAGCUAAGGCUCUUUCUUCUGUCUGAGGAGCAAGAUGUUUCUUCUCUCUCCUCAGUGCUGGCUGAGCCAUGCCAAGUAUGACUUCUGUCCUCGGCAUGCUUGGCUUUUCCCAAAGUCAGCUUUUGUCUUGACUCUUCCUUCACAGUCUGGGCUCAGACAUAAUGGCUUCUCAUCAUGAAUUCCCUGGUGGUCUCUGGAUCUGAGUCCCUUCCCUCUUUGAUUGCCUUCCAUCUGGUCUCCCUCGUUCAGCUUUCACAAAGGGUUCAGUAUGGCUGAGGAAUGCCUAUUUGUUCCACUGGUGUGACAAAGUGUCAUUUGCUAACACAUUAGGAUAUAACCAUCAUUUUUGUCUUCAAUACCACAACACAGAAGGCAACAUCCUGAUCCAAUGAGCCCAGGAGGUAGCCGCUUCUCUCUACCAAGUUCCUGGAUGGAAGCAGAUGUUUCAGGAAAGUCAGCGCCAUCAAGAUAGUUGCUAGCAUUUAUUUUGGACUCACUGCACAUCCAUCCUACUGAUGAGAGAGACAGCAUCGCUGUGCAGAAAAGACAAUGACUCUCAUCAGCAUCUCUGAUUGUAUCAUGAGAAUUGGCUCAUCCAAAUGGCUUUUCUUUUCCAAGGAGUAAGAACACUUAAGUUUUUGAGACCUAGUGCCAUGUUGCUUUCCAAAAAGACUGUUCUACCCAUUGUGAUCAACUAUGCCCACUUUUUAGUAUCUGGAUUGUUUACAAAGUUUAAAUAUAUAAAAUUUGUCAGAUUUCAAUUAAUGGGUAGGUUGAAUAUAAAUAUUUGCUUGCUAUCGCAAUACUUGGUAUCUUCUCCAUGGUGGAUUGAAGGACUAUUAACUAGCUUUUUGAUGUUGUUAUUAACUUUUGCUAUUUAUUUUCAAGUCUCUUUCUCUCUCACUCUCUCUCUCUCUCUCUCUCUCUCUCUCUCUCUCUCUCUCGUGUGUGUGUGUGUGUGUGUGUGUGUGUGUUUCUCAGGUGGGGUUUUGUUUGUGUAGCCAAGUCUGGCUUUGUAUUUGUUAUAUAGUUAAAUUUCAAUACAGUAAAACUUAUAUUUUACUGUAUUUAUAGCUUUGUGAUUUGGGACAAAUAAAUUGGGUUGCUAACCUACAAACACAACCAGAAUAUAAAUGACCAUCUUACUUCCUCAAACACCCAUAUGUUACCUCUGUUGUAGUGAAACCCUCUGCCGGCCCACAGCCCCUGGAAACUGUUGACUUACCUUGUGUCCCUAUAGAUUUUCCUUCCAAGAACAGGAUAUCUUUUAUAGAGCAAACAAAAUUUAAAAUCCAACUUAGUAUUUAUCUUUAAUGUUUUUGUUGUAUUAAAAUUCUUUGCAUAAUCCACAGUCACAAAUCUUUUCACCUAUGUUUUUCCUCUCUAAGAGCUUUGCAAUUUUAUUUUUUUACCUUUGAGUAUAUCG